CUCAGUCAGGUAACACAGGCUGGACCCACUGGCUGCGUCAGAGGAGGGAAACCUUGCUUUACAUUUCAGUGUCCUUGUAUACAGAUUAGUGCAGCCACACUGUGAGUAUCGUGUCUCUGGUGUGUUAAGCAAGGCUGCAGCUGAUUUGGAGUCUCGUCUAUUUUUACACGGUAGCAGUUCUCAGCAAAAGCAGACCCGAACAUGACCUGUAGACAGCCACAUCAGCAUCCUACCAGGGUUUUACUGCAGUUUUUACGUCUGUAUCGGAGUAUGUCAUAGACACGAUGUUAACUCACAGGACAGGUGUUGGAACCGACCACAUGGUUGUGACAUCAGAGCGACCUGGUUGUAGCCCAGCUACAAACAAGCAAACACUCUUUGCAAAUGUUACUCAAAGGAAGCACCCAGACAUUUGGAUUUUACCUCCCUAGGCUGCAGUCUUUCCUCUCACUGGAUGAACCAAAACUGCCCUCUGCACAACCAGAAAACACACCUGACCUUGACCCUUUUGAUGAUUUUUCCAUCAUUUUCACACAUUUUAUUGAUUUAAUUCUAAUAAUUACUAUCAAUAAUUAUUGAUUUCUAAUAACCACACCUGCCAGACCAUCAAUUCCCAACACAGGUCUAAAUAAAAAUGUGAAAACACCUGUAUUUAAUCAUCACUGAUGAAACAUCACAGGCACAACAUUAUCUCCUAAUUCACCUAAAUAAGCCGUCCAUAUGCUUCUGUGGUCUUACUGCUGGACAGAUCUGGGGCUCACACCUGAUUGUGAUGAGAACUGAGACAUCUGUACUGGAAUUCUUGAACUUUGAGGACACUGCAACAUGUGGACACACAUGCAAAGCACAGUAUAAAUAGGAGACAACGACCAAAUCAUGUGACAAGAAAAUGUAUCUGUAAUAGUCUAUAAUAAUGCUAUAUUUUGCGAUCAUA